AUUGAACGCUGGCGGCAGGCCUAACACAUGCAAGUCGAACGAGUGGCGGACGGGUGAGUAAUGUCUGGGAAACUGCCCGAUGGAGGGGGAUAACUACUGGAAACGGUAGCUAAUACCGCAUACCAUCGGAUGUGCCCAGAUGGGAUUAGCUUGUAGGUGCGGUAACGGCUCACCUAGGCGACGAUCCCUAGCUGGACUGAGAGGAUUACCAGCCACACUGGAACUGAGAAACGGUCCAGACUCCUACGGGAGGGAGCAGUGGGGAAUAUUGCACAAUGGGCGAAAGCCUGAUGCAGCCAUGCCGCGUGUAUGGAGGAGGCCUUCGGGGUGUAAAGUACUUUCAGCGGGGAGGCGUUACCCGCAGAAGAAGCACCGGCUAACUCCGUGCCAGCAGCCGCGGUAAUA
rnacentral:rRNA from 1 species